UACGAAGGGGGCUAGCGUUGCUCGGAAUUACUGGGCGUAAAGGGCGCGUAGGCGGCACUGUUAGUCAGGCGUGAAAGUCCUGGGCUCAACCUGGGAACUGCGCUUGAUACGGCAGAGCUAGAGGAUGGAAGAGGCUCGUGGAAUUCCCAGUGUAGAGGUGAAAUUCGUAGAUAUUGGGAAGAACACCGGUGGCGAAGGCGGCGAGCUGGUCCAUUACUGACGCUGAGGCGCGACAGCGUGGGGAGCAAACAGG
rnacentral:rRNA from 1 species